CCCCUAGAUGUUCUGGGCCGCACGCGCGCUACACUGAACAGUUCAACAAGUCUUAACCUUGGCCGAUAGGUCUGGGUAAUCUUUGAACGCUGUUCGUAAUUGGGAUAGACCUUUGCAAUUAUGGGUCUUCAACGAGGAAUUCCUAGUAAACGCAAGUCAUCAGCUUGCAUUGAUUACGUCCCUGCCCUUUGUACACACCGCCCGUCGCACCUACCGAUUGAAUGGUCCGGUGAAAUCUCGGGACGGCGGCUUGGUCGCUUGCGUCCGACUGCUGAAACUUGAUUAAACCAUAUCAUUUAGAGGAAGGUGAAGUCGUAACA
rnacentral:rRNA from 1 species